AUGAACGCUGGCGGCGUGCCUAAUACAUGCAAGUCGAGCGAACGGACGAGAAGCUUGCUUCUCUGAUGUUAGCGGCGGACGGGUGAGUAACACGUGGAUAACCUACCUAUAAGACUGGGAUAACUUCGGGAAACCGGAGCUAAUACCGGAUAAUAUUUUGAACCGCAUGGUUCAAAAGUGAAAGACGGUCUUGCUGUCACUUAUAGAUGGAUCCGCGCUGCAUUAGCUAGUUGGUAAGGUAACGGCUUACCAAGGCAACGAUGCAUAGCCGACCUGAGAGGGUGAUCGGCCACACUGGAACUGAGACACGGUCCAGACUCCUACGGGAGGCAGCAGUAGGGAAUCUUCCGCAAUGGGCGAAAGCCUGACGGAGCAACGCCGCGUGAGUGAUGAAGGUCUUCGGAUCGUAAAGCUCUGUUAUUAGGGAAGAACAUAUGUGUAAGUAACUGUGCACAUCUUGACGGUACCUAAUCAGAAAGCCACGGCUAACUACGUG
rnacentral:rRNA from 1 species